CAGAUGUCUCUCUCUCUCCAGCAACUUCAGUGUGCGGAAUAUUAUCUUAUAUAGUCCCAUUACCUGUGCGUGUGUUUACACCUACAACCUUCCCCAGGGACUUUUGGAGGAUUAGCCGCGGGCUCUAAAAAUGCCUUCAGCUUCCGCCAACGAUGCGUCGGCUCGAUCUGCACAAAUUUUGUCCUUGACCCGCGGCACAAGGUGGACGUGUCUGAUGUGUUACCAGCCAGACAGUCUUGAUUCGAGAGAGACAAACGGCGUCAGGGGUGGAAAAGGUGCGGACCGCAAGAGUUGAGAGACAGUUUAGUACAAGUUUAAUUGUUUUGAGUGAGAGAGACUGAGAGAGUUCACACAACAGGGACACAUCAUGGUAUUAUUGGUAAGAUAAAUUUGAUCCUUUUAUUUUUAAUUUGCUGUGCCCAAAAUAAAGACCUGCUGUUCGGAGAGAAAAUAAAAUUCUGCACAAUUGUUUGAACUAGGAAAGCAUAAUAACU